rnacentral:rRNA from 1 species
GGGAUAUUGCACAAUGGGCGAAAGCCUGAUGCAGCGACGCCGCGUGAGUGAAGAAGUAUUUCGUUAUGUAAGGCUCUAUCAGCAGGGAAGAAAAUGACGGUACCUGACUAAGAAGCCCCGGCUAACUACGUGCCAGCAGCCGCGGUAAUACGUAGGGGGCAAGCGUUAUCCGGAUUUACUGGGUGUAAAGGGAGCGUAGACGGCGAAGCAAGUCUGAAGUGAAAACCCAGGGCUUAACCCUGGGACUGCUUUGGAAACUGUUUUGCUAGAGUGUCGGAGAGGUAAGUAGAAUUCCUAGUGUAGCGGUGAAAUGCGUAGAUAUUAGGAGGAACACCAGUGGCGAAGGCAGCUUACUGGACGAUAACUGACGUUGAGGCUCGAAAGCGUGGGGAGCAAACA